ensembl:antisense
ACAGAAGCCCCAUCCCCACAGCCACAGGCACCAAGGCGAGAGAGAAAGAAAGAGCAGGGAGGCGGGCGAAGCGCAGGGAGAGAAGCAGAGAAGAAAUAUUCACCUUCCCGCCUCAUGCCCACUUUGAGGCACUUCUUGAGGCGGCAGUAUUGGCACUGGUUGCGGUGGUGCUGGUCGAUGGGACAGUUCCUGUUGGCACGGCAUGUGUGGCCAUGGAAUGGUGUAGCAGAUUGCUGCAGAUGGUUUCAAUAGUUCUGCUGAAUGCUCCUUGUUUGUGCCUGCAAGAGGAACUCAAGGCUUUAUGUAUGGCCAUUGCUGUGACCUAGUGUGAUGCUCUACUUUUCCACUGAACUCUGCUUGCUCUAACUGAGGACCUUAGCUAUAAUUUAGCCUUUUCUUUUUAUAUUAAGCUGUUGUUGAGGAAGGAGCUUUGGCAAUAGAAGAAAUCAAGCAGCAGGUUCAUUUCCACUGUUGACACAACUGGAAACGGAUCCCUACUUUAUGCAUUGGAGAUGCUAUGAAGACUACUCUGUCUGAUGUUUCCCUAUUGGGAUAGUGAAGUAUGAUGCUUCAUUGGUUGAGUGUAUGCAAUCAAAGUAAGAGUGAAAAAGGAAGAUCUGAGGAGUGGGCAGAUGCCUGCCGGGUAAACUAUUUGUGGCAUAAACUUGAGGACCCCACAGGAAAGCCAGAUGUUGUCAUGUGCUUCUAACCACAAUUCUGCUAUUGAAUGGGGGAUUACUGGUCAGUGACUAGCCAAAAUGGUGAGCUUCAUGUGCUGAGAGAACUACCUAUCUCAAAAAAAUAAGGUGAAAGGGCUAGAGAGGUGGCAAAGUAGCACUGACUGAUCUCUCAGAGGAGAAUGUGGAUUCAACUCCUAGCACCCACAUAGCAGCCAACAACCAUCUGUAACUCCAGUCUCAGGGGAUUUAGUGCCUUCUUAUAUCCUCAGUGAACACUGCACAUAUAUUGUGCAUAGACAUACAUUCAGUCAAACAAACACUCAGACACAUAAAAAUAAAUGAAAUCUCAAAAUAUUUUAAAAAGAUAAUGUGGAGGGUGAUUGAGGCCUUAUAUUAAUCUUUAGACUUUACAAAAUGAGUUUUACACACACACACACACAGAAAACACACAAACACACUAUAUGUACACACACAUAUAUACACUGACACACACACUUGAAAAAUUGUUAUUGCUUAAAAUUUUUUUGAUAACUUGUCUCAGAAUUUUUAUUAUUGAUUUUAUUAUAAUAUUAAUUUUGAGUCUACAGUAAAUCUUUAUGCUGGAACUAGACUUCAGGAUUAUUAUAAGAUAUAUUUAAUGUAUAAAUUUGAGUUCAUAAUUGUGAGAAUAAUUCUUUUAUGGUUGUGGUAAUAAAGUAUCAUUAUCUUCUUAGAUCUAAUGUAAGAUUCAAACUCUGACCCACUAACUUUUAAGUCCCUUCUUAAAAGUGCUGUAUUAAACUGCAUGAAGCU